GCAGCUCAGUGGGAGAGCAUCUGGUUUGUAUGCAGAAAAUUCCAGGUACAAUACCUGGCAUCUCCA
rnacentral:tRNA from 1 species